rnacentral:rRNA from 1 species
GUGAGGAAUAUUGGUCAAUGGGCGCAAGCCUGAACCAGCCAUGCCGCGUGCAGGAAGAAGCAUCUAUGGUGUGUAAACUGCUUUUAUACAGGAAGAAACAACGCUACGUGUAGCGUCUUGACGGUACUGUAAGAAUAAGGACCGGCUAACUCCGUGCCAGCAGCCGCGGUAAUACGGAGGGUCCAAGCGUUAUCCGGAAUCCUUGGGUUUAAAGGGUCCGUAGGCGGCCUUAUAAGUCAGUGGUGAAAUCUCCUAGCUCAACUAGGAAACUGCCAUUGAUACUGUAAGGCUUGAAUUUUUGUGAAGUAACUAGAAUAUGUAGUGUAGCGGUGAAAUGCUUAGAUAUUACAUGGAAUACCAAUUGCGAAGGCAGGUUACUAACAAACGAUUGACGCUGAUGGACGAAAGCGUGGGGAGCGAACAGGAUUAGAUACCCGAGUAGUCC